rnacentral:rRNA from 1 species
CCUACGGGUGGCUGCAGUCGAGGAUCUUCGGCAAUGGGCGCAAGCCUGACCGAGCGACGCCGCGUGAGCGACGAAGGCCUUCGGGUUGUAAAGCUCGAAAGUACCAAGGAAAGCCGCAAGGCCUGACCGAGGUACAGUAAGCACGGGCUAAGUUCGUGCCAGCAGCCGCGGUAAGACGAACCGUGCGAACGUUGUUCGGAAUCACUGGGCUUAAAGGGCGCGUAGGCGGGCCGCAAAGUCAGGGGUGAAAUCCUCCAGCUCAACUGGAGAACUGCCUUUGAUACUGGCGGUCUUGAGUGGGGUAGGGGCAUGCGGAACAAUGGGUGGAGCGGUGAAAUGCGUUGAUAUCCAUUGGAACUCCGGUGGCGAAAGCGGCGUGCUGGACCUCUACUGACGCUGAGGCGCGAAAGCCAGGGGAGCAAACGGGAUUAGAUACCCCU